GAUGAACGCUGGCGGCGUGCCUAAUACAUGCAAGUCGAGCGAACGGACGAGAAGCUUGCUUUUCUGAUGUUAGCGGCGGACGGGUGAGUAACACGUGUAUAACCUACCUAUAAUACUGGGAUAACUUCGGGAAACCGGAUCUAAUACCGGAUAAUAUUUUGCACCGCAUGGUUCAAAAGUGAAAUACGGUCUUGCUGUCACUUAUAGAUGGAUCCGCGCUGCAUUAGCUAGUUGGUAAGGUAACGGCCUACCAAGGCAACGAUGCAUAGACGACCUGAGAGAGUGAUCGGCCACACUGGAACUGAGACACGGUCAAGACGCCUACGGGAGGCAGCAGUAGGGAAUCUUACGCAAUGGGCGAAAGCAUGACGGAGCAACGCCGAGUGAGUGAUGAAGGUCUUCGGAUCGUAAAACUCUGUUAUUAGGGAAGAACACAUGUGUAAGUAACUGUGCACAUCUUGACGGUACCUAAUAAGAAAGCCACGGCUAACUACGUG
rnacentral:rRNA from 1 species